rfam:Enterobacter sp. 638, complete genome.
AGUGGCUCAUUCACCCUCUUAUGUCAGCCCCUUCGGGACGCGCUACAUAAACUUCGAAUGACGCACAAAAAGGUGCCUGCCGUCCAACUACUGAUUAUUGCGUAAGCUUUAUCAGGCUCCGGGCGAAACGUCGAGUAAGGCACCGCCUC